CUGGUUGCUUCGCCGUUCUGUUUUAAACUUGUUUGUGCAAGCUGUUUUUUUUUUUUUUGGAUUGCUUUCUCUGCUCACUCCCAGUGGGCAUCCUUUUGAGGUCAUUUUUAAUAACUCCUGUUGCUUUGCAAGAAUAGCGAUAAA
rnacentral:ribozyme from 1 species